rnacentral:rRNA from 1 species
GACGAACGCUGGCGGCGUGCUUAACACAUGCAAGUCGAGCGGUAAGGCCCUUUCGGGGGUACACGAGCGGCGAACGGGUGAGUAACACGUGGGUGACCUGCCCUCAGCUCUGGGAUAAGCCUGGGAAACCGGGUCUAAUACCGGAUAUGACUCCAUGACGCAUGUUGUGGGGUGGAAAGCCUUGUGCGGCUGGGGAUGGGCCCGCGGCCUAUCAGCUUGUUGGUGGGGUGAUGGCCACCAAGGCGACGACGGGUAGCCGGCCUGAGAGGGCGACCGGCCACACUGGGACUGAGACACGGCCCAGACUCCUACGGGAGGCAGCAGUGGGGAAUCUUGCGCAAUGGGCGAAAGCCUGACGCAGCGACGCCGCGUGAGGGAUGACGGCCU